UGUAUGCCCGCAGAACCCAACUAGGGACAACUUUUCACCUGUUCUUUCCUGUGACUCCAUGCCCGGGCGUUUGUGAGUCAUGGAUUUCAGUUUGCGGUCCGUGUCGUCGUCGUGCUCAUGUAAUACAUACAACCUGCACCUGCCAAAAAAAGAAAAAAAGAAAGAAAGAAAAA